GAUGAACGCUGGCGGCGUGCCUAAUACAUGCAAGUCGAGCGAACAGACGAGGAGCUUGCUCCUCUGACGUUAGCGGCGGACGGGUGAGUAACACGUGGAUAACCUACCUAUAAGACUGGGAUAACUUCGGGAAACCGGAGCUAAUACCGGAUAAUAUAUUGAACCGCAUGGUUCAAUAGUGAAAGACGGUUUUGCUGUCACUUAUAGAUGGAUCCGCGCCGCAUUAGCUAGUUGGUAAGGUAACGGCUUACCAAGGCAACGAUGCGUAGCCGACCUGAGAGGGUGAUCGGCCACACUGGAACUGAGACACGGUCCAGACUCCUACGGGAGGCAGCAGUAGGGAAUCUUCCGCAAUGGGCGAAAGACUGACGGAGCAACGCCGCGUGAGUGAUGAAGGUCUUCGGAUCGUAAAACUCUGUUAUUAGGGAAGAACAAAUGUGUAAGUAACUAUGCACGUCUUGACGGUACCUAAUCAGAAAGCCACGGCUAACUACG
rnacentral:rRNA from 1 species